AAAGAAAUUAGUUAAAAAUUUACAUAACAUUGAUAUGUCAAAUCAAAAUUAUUUAGAUAUAUUUCUUUAUACCUCAA
rnacentral:tRNA from 1 species